rnacentral:rRNA from 1 species
AACGCGAAGAACCUUACCUGGGCUCGAACGGCUUCUCAACGCCGGUGGAAACAUCGGUAUCCCGCAAGGGAGUGGAGUCGAGGUGCUGCAUGGCUGUCGUCAGCUCGUGUCGUGAGAUGUUGGGUUAAGUCCCGCAACGAGCGCAACCCUUGUCCUGUGUUGCCAUGCCCGAAAGGGCGGAACUCGCAGGAGACCGCCAGCGAUAAGCUGGAGGAAGGUGGGGAUGACGUCAAGUCCUCAUGGCCUUUAUGUCCAGGGCUACACACGUGCUACAAUGGACGGUACAAUACGUCGCUAACCCGCGAGGGGGAGCCAAUCGCAAAAAACCGUUCUCAGUUCGGAUUGCAGGCUGCAACUCGCCUGCAUGAAGCUGGAAUCGCUAGUAAUGGCAGAUCAGCACGCUGCCGUGAAUACGUUCCCGGGCCUUGUA